CAUGCUUAACACAUGCAAGUCGAACGAACGUAUGGGGCUUGCUUCAUACGUUAGUGGCAGACGGGUGAGAAACGCGUGGGAAACGUACCCCAAAGUUCGGAAUAACUAUUGGAAACGAUAGCUAAUACCGGAUGUGACCGAGAGGUUAAAGGUUUACCGCUUUGGGAGCGGCCGCGUUAGAUUAGCUAGUUGGUGGGGUAAAGGCCUACCAAGGCAAUGAUCUAUAGCUGGUCUGAGAGGAUGACCAGCCACACUGGGACUGAGACACGGCCCAGACUCC
rnacentral:rRNA from 1 species